GUGAAAGUGAUACUUAUCAUUUCUGAGCUUAGGCCUUAAGAAGCGUCGUGCGUUUCCAUUUGCCUCCCUGUGCCUCUGUCAUCACAAUGAGAAGAAUAUGCCCUAACUGGCCCUGAGUCCCCGAAGAAGGAUUAGAGAAACGUGGAGCAGAGCCCCGAGUCUGAAGUGAGAGCUACCCCUAGCUGAUCCAUGAACUGAGCAAGGAAGUUGUUCACACAUGUAUGCCACUGAGACUUUGGCACUGUUCUUCUGUGGCACUAGUUGACCAAAACAGCUUUCUGCAAAUGGGAUGGGAGCAUCGCUAAUGCUCAGUGAUCUGGGAACAUGGCAUUAAUUGAUAAUGAUCAAGAAGACACUCUUUCACCACCAAUAUGAAACCCUGGGGAAGUCAAUUGAAGUGGAAAACUAUAUAUUUUGUGCAGAGGCUUCAAAGAAGGGGAAAUUAUGGUUUCAUUAGAUCAUCCCUCCAUUCUGCAAGCGUAGAGCAGGUCUGUGCAAUUGACUUUUUGAGGCCACUCUGUAAGCCUGCGCUGGGACGCAGUGAGCGCUUACCAUGAAACGGAUCAUUAAUUCUCCUCCUAUUUUGCUGCAUUGAAGCAGAAGAUGAUUAUUAACCUAGCAACAUGGGGAAACAGCUAAGGCUUUCUAAGCCCUUGGGAUGGAGAGACACUGCUAAUUAUGUGUGGCAAUCCGAUUUUUCUUCCUCUUUUAUAAAGGCAACGUUGUCCUCUUCGUCUUUCUAAGUCCUGUGCUGCGGCUAGCAGUGCAGUCUGAUGUAAGAAGGAUAUUUGUUCCCAACCCUUUCCAGAACCCUAUUCUUAAUUCCAAAUUCAGUGAGAGGCAAUCAAUUCUAUGCAGACGCUGAGCAUUCGCAGCAUCGCAGCCUGAUCAAAGUGUGUCUGGUACUGGUCCAGGAAGAAAACACAGCAAAUAGCCCUGGAAAACAAGGAGCUUUAGCUUGAGGGUCCAGCGCCCCUCCCCCAGCUUUCAUCCCCGCUCAACCUCAGAGAUGAGCAAAUACAGCUUCAGAAGGGGCCGACCACUAAAAGGAGGACCACUGCAACAGGUGGAAUAAUUUCUAAACUCCUGUUGUCCUUCUUUGUUUGGAUAACUCCAUCCUUUUUCUCAGUCUAUCUGAAGGAGAUUGAACCGUGCCAUUAUUUAGUCUUAUUUUCUUUGGGACCUGGAAGGCAGCCUUGCUAUCAUUUACCUAGUUUUCAGCCAUGUGGACACAAAUCAAAACUCUAUCAGGAAAGUAAUAGGUGUCACUUGUCCCUGUUUUGAGGACUGAUGGAGGCUCAGCAGUCAUCCUGCCACAAGGAAUUGAAGGAAGUCAAUCUCUGUUUCAUUGUCCUGAAGCUAUUUCUCACCGAAGGGACGCUGGAUUUUUACCCACUUCGAUUAAUGAAAGAAACUUCUAGUUCUGGCACUCUUUGUUAGGAGGAAAGAUAAAUAAGGAAAGGAUUUACCUACAACCCGGCCUCGUGAUGAAAUAAUGAAUGGUCAGUGCCAGGAGGUUUUAGAAAGCAGGGUUCUUCCUUCUUCUCUCAAGUGGUCCAGAUGUUGGAACCUCACCUCUGGGAGGACGUGUUCCAAAGCACAUCCAGGUCUCCCAGUGGGAUCACGUGGAAACUUCAGUGGGCCCUGCUGUAUUCUAAGUGGGGGUGUCACUCUGAGGUUGUCAAAUCUCCCAGGGAACCAUGGGGUGAUGGUCUCUAUGCAUCCCGCCUGACGUGUGGUGGGCAUGAAUGCUGCCUUGUGUGGUACGGCAUAUUUGGUUUGCUUCCUAGCAGUGUUUAUCUGGCUUGUUUUUUUGUCCUUGGGAGUUUUGCUAAGAAUGGUGAUGAGUGGACAGUCAACAAUCCCGGAAUCUGGGUUAGAUAAACUCCAUGACUUGGACAGCUUCUACAAGUCUUCUCAAAAAGGGUCUUACGGCCUCAGAAAAUGAGCUUGAAAUGUAUUUUGGUCUCACUCAAAAGAAAUCCCCAAUUCUGCAGCUCUUUUUGUGACAAUAUCUUGCUAGCAGAGAGCACCCUUAGGACAGGACCUUCCUGGGAUGGCUCCCUUGUCCUCGUGCUCAGAAAGAAGUGGACAGCAAGUUGGGGUCAGUGAUCGCCUCUAUUCCGGGCUGUGGAUGAAGCAUUCUUCUCUGAGAGCCAAGAGGAGCCCUGUCUCAGAUCUUCACCAGGAGAACCUGGUGGGGUUCCUGCCGGUAAACCCCACAAAAGCGUGAGAGCGCCUGAAGACGCCACCUCAGGGGUUUCUCUCGUGGUGGAACGCACUCAACCUCCAGAAAUUCACCCCGGUCCCCAGCGGCGUGUCCUGCCGGCUCACGGCUCCCGCCGCUUCUACUCCAGGUGCGCUGAUCUCAGCUUUGGCCCUCUGGAGUCUCCUGUUUCUCCAGAUUUGGGGCUGGCGGUUGGCCCUGCAACCUCAGUUCUCUGCAAUCGAGCGACAGAGCUGCAAGGAGAACAGAAGUCUUCUGGAUACUUGUCCAAAAGGAGUGAGGUUUUCACUAACUAUGAUACUGUGCAUUUGGACUGCAACAAGAGAAGGGUCAUCUGGACUUGUCAAUGCACUGCUGG
rnacentral:lncRNA from 1 species